UACGUAGGUGACAAGCGUUGUCCGGAUUUACUGGGCGUAAAGAGCGCGCAGGCGGUCGUUCAAGUCGAGUGUGAAAGCCCCCGGCUCAACUGGGGAGGGUCACUCGAUACUGAUCGACUCGAAGGCAGGAGAGGGUAGUGGAAUUCCCGGUGUAGUGGUGAAAUGCGUAGAUAUCCGGAGGAACACCGGUGGCGAAGGCUGCUUCCUGGACCGACACUGACGCUGAGGCGCGAAAGCUAGGGGAGCAAACGGG
rnacentral:rRNA from 1 species